UCGCGUCAAGCGCCGUAGGCAGGAGCGGGGGACCCAAGGUAAGUGCUGGAACCGGCAGUUGAUGCCGGAACCGGCUUGGGGUGAAGCCGCAGGCCCGCGACAGCGGGCGUGCGGCCGGGCAACUCAACCGGCCCGAACCCGACAGCUCACCUCGCAGGCGUCGGUGAGGGGAUCG
rfam:Streptomyces sp. MMG1121 P433contig88.1, whole genome shotgun sequence.